AACCAAUUGCUUUAUUGCACAUAUUUGCGGGGCAGGAAGGGGUGUCUGGACACAUGUCCCAGGAAUUGCUCCCCGCCCAGGGUGGCCGCCAACCUUCCCUGUCCCCUCCCCAGGCCCCUGCCUCUGACCCACGAGGCUGCUGCAGGAAUUUUCCGCCGAUGGGUGGGUGGUGGGUGGUUUCCUGGUAGGAAGGGGCGGUGGGAGCCGUGCCAGGAGGGUGACCACUGUGUUGGAGCCUGCCCGGCUGACGUCAGGGCGUGGUGCGCAGAUGGAAUCCGUUUGUCCAAAGAUCAUCGCGCACGUCGGUGGCUGUUUGCUGAGUGCUCAGUUCUCUUUAGAAACGGGCCGCCCCACUCCCCGGGCUGCCCUCGGGAAAGGAGAGGAGCGGCAUCCUGUCCAGGAGUGACAUUUCAGGGAGCCGUCCACCCUCUGUGCUCUCCUUCAACGACGUGUGGUGAGCCUCACCUGCCUCCGGCCCAGCAGCUUCCUGUUGUGGACGCACUUCUGCUCCUGCCGCCUGAGUCAGCAUCCCAUGCAAUGGCCCUUCUGGCUCUUGGGACUUCAGAGCUGGCCUGGUCUCUCCAGGCCAACACUUGCAGCCCUCGGCCCUGAAAUCAAAGUCCGAACUGUCCACUCGUGCAGGCCUACGACCAGGGGUGAUCUGGAUGCUGAGCCUCCAUCACAUGCCUGGGGCUUGAGGAGGCGAGGCCACAGGCGAGAGGGGUGUUGGUGUCCAGAGCAGGCCGGGGGGAGGUCAGCACAGAGAGGGGGUCCAUGUGGGCAGAGAGCCCCUGGAGGGCGAGCCAUGGGAGCCCUGGGCCAGCAGGAGCAGUGGUGACACCUUCUCCUGCAAUGAGACAAAGGCGAGACCCUCAGAAAUCCCCCUGGAGCCUCGGGAACUUGGGGGUGGGGUGGGGGGAGGGUGCCCAGACUCGGAAGGUGGGCCACACUCAGCCAGACCGGUCCAGACACCCUCAGUAUCUGGAAAAGAGGAUGUGCAAGCCAGGAGAGCAACAGGGCUGGUCUGGGAUGUCCAAGGCCUCUGGAUCCCGCCUCUCUUCCGUGGCUGCUGGAUGGUGAGGGCUCCCUGAGGAUUGGGGUCCCCCUUCCUGCUCCAGGCCUUGGUUGCCCUGUAGCCAGGAUGUGGAGCCAAGCUGCUCAGACCACAGGAUGUGGGGAGAGCUGGUGUGGCUGCCCACCGGCUCCCUGUUCCGCGUCUCUGGCCCCGCCCUUCCUCCAGGUGAGC